rnacentral:rRNA from 1 species
UGGGGAAUAUUGCACAAUGGGCGAAAGCCUGAUGCAGCGACGCCGCGUGAGGGAUGACGGCCUUCGGGUUGUAAACCUCUUUCAGCAGGGACGAAGCGCAAGUGACGGUACCUGCAGAAGAAGCGCCGGCCAACUACGUGCCAGCAGCCGCGGUAAGACGUAGGGCGCGAGCGUUGUCCGGAUUUAUUGGGCGUAAAGAGCUCGUAGGCGGCUCGUUGCGUCAACCGUGAAAACCCGGGGCUUAACUUCGGGCUUGCGGUUGAUACGGGCGGGCUGGAGUUCGGUAGGGGAGACUGGAAUUCCUGGUGUAGCGGUGAAAUGCGCAGAUAUCAGGAGGAACACCGGUGGCGAAGGCGGGUCUCUGGGCCGAUACUGACGCUGAGGAGCGAAAGCGUGGGGAGCGAACA